rnacentral:rRNA from 1 species
UGGGGAAUAUUGGACAAUGGGCGCAAGCCUGAUCCAGCCAUGCCGCGUGAGUGAUGAAGGCCCUAGGGUUGUAAAGCUCUUUCACCGGUGAAGAUAAUGACGGUAACCGGAGAAGAAGCCCCGGCUAACUUCGUGCCAGCAGCCGCGGUAAUACGAAGGGGGCUAGCGUUGUUCGGAUUUACUGGGCGUAAAGCGCACGUAGGCGGACUAUUAAGUCAGGGAUGAAAUCCCGGGGCUCAACCCCGGAACUGCCUUUGAUACUGGUAGUCUUGAGUUCGAGAGAGGUGAGUGGAAUUCCGAGUGUAGAGGUGAAAUUCGUAGAUAUUCGGAGGAACACCAGUGGCGAAGGCGGCUCACUGGCUCGAUACUGACGCUGAGGUGCGAAAGCGUGGGGAGCAAACAGG